rnacentral:rRNA from 1 species
UACAGAGGUCUCAACCGUUGUUCGGAUUCAUUGGGCGUAAAGGGUGCGUAGGCGGUCGCGCAAGUCGGAUGUGAAAUCUCAGGGCUCAACCCUGAAACUGCAUUCGAUACUGCGUGGCUAGAGUGCUGGAGGGGAGACUGGAAUUCCUGGUGUAGCGGUGAAAUGCGCAGAUAUCAGGAGGAACACCGAUGGCGAAGGCAGGUCUCUGGGCCACUACUGACGCUGAGAAGCGAAAGCAUGGGGAGCGAACAGG